rnacentral:sRNA from 1 species
AACCGUUUGAAAGCAAGCUUAGGAGAAAACCAAGUCGGUGAUAUGCCGGUGGAGCAAGCCUUAGAUGGAGGAUCGACUGAAGAAUACUUUUAAUAAUGAAACCUAUGUUUAUAUUUCUGUUUUAAGGUGUGGAGUGUAAUUAGUUUGAAAUUCAGUGAGGAUUUGUAGAAUAAUGAGGAAAACUCUUAUUCUUCCUUCUAUCAACUGUUCUAUUGUAUCAAUGAUGUAAGAA